rnacentral:misc_RNA from 1 species
GAUGAAGAACGUAGCGAAAUGCGAUAAGUAGUGUGAAUUGCAGAAUUCAGUGAAUCAUCGAAUCUUUGAACGCACAUUGCGCCCCUUGGUAUUCCAUGGGGCAUGCCUGUUCGAGCGUCAUUUGUACCUUCAAGCUUUGCUUGGUGUUGGGUGUUUGUCCAUUCUCUUGCAGAGGGACUCGCCUUAAAGUAAUUGGCAGCCAGUGUUUUGGUUUUGAAGCGCAGCACAAGUCGCGAUUCAAAGCUAUACGCCCGCUUCCACAAGCCUUUUUCACUUUUGACCUCGGAUCAGGUAGGGAUACCCGCUGAACUUAAGCAUAUAAUAAGCGGAGGA